GACACAGGGGUAGUUGGUCGUAGUAACACUUGUAUUGUUGGAUUUCUGGUGAAUACAACUUGCACAAAACAUAGCUGGAAUAAUCUCUAUACAUUUCUGCAGGAAAUUCAGAAGCAUCCGCCCCAGAGCACCCGCCAGCUAAGCCCAUCAGAAGCUGUUGUUCGUAGCAAUGAAGUGCAGAUUGUAUGCUCCAAGGCAUGGAGCAGCUCACUGGGCUCUCUCAUCACAAGAAAGCCCCAGGAAUACAUUAAAAGGUAAUGAGAGAUCAGUCAGAAGAGGGUCAUGCAGGGGCACUGCUUGGCAUCGUGGUGCUGGAGAGAGCUUUCAGCAUGAUGGGCUUGUCAUCUCUGUUGAGGAGCCAGAAGGGGUGGAGUUCAACAAUGUUGCUCAUGGCAACAGUUUCUAAGCCUUGCUUCUUGUUGAUGUGGUUAUUUGUAAAUCAACACUGCAUGCAUGAGAUUAGCAAGGCCAAUAUACAAUGAAGCUCUCAUGUAUUUAUGUAACAUGUAUGUACUUGUACUAUGUAAAAUGCGUCCUAAAAUUAAUUUGAAUAAACAUUUUAAUCAGGUC